GCAUUCUAGAAGCUAAAAGCCCUCUGUUGCUGGCUAGCAGAAGGCUAACCAAAUAUCAGGCCCUUUUCCUAGACAUUCCCAAUUUAACUCUGGGUGUGUCACAAUCUCCACCCUGCCUCCUUUCUUCCUGACACCAAACAAUCCGGUGACAUUAUUCGUAGUUGUGGGGAAACUUCAGAUUCAGUCUACUCUAGUGGACCUGACUUGAGAGACUCUCCACAACCCAGAUGGUAAAUGGUCCAUUUUCUUGAAGAUAAGGACAGAAAGACCUUCCUGGCACCUCAUGAGAACUCAGAGAAGACCUGAAACUGCUGUUCCUCAGAACCCCUGGAGCACUGGAAAUGGAUGGGGAAAUCACUGGACUUCCUGACCAACACGGUAGGCCAUCCACUCAUUUCUUGUCUUUAGGAUUGGCUGUGCCUGUGCCAACAUCUUCUGCUGUUGUAUGUACUUCAACCCCUGGGGAAAGUUGAACUUCCUACUGCAAGAGUUCCUAAAAAAACAGGAUGGAGGUCAUGAACUUCCAGCCACUUGCUCAACCUGGAUACCAUCUUGUACCUGAUCCAGAGACCUAGCACCUCCUGGAUUCUCCCUAACCUCUUUGUCAAAAAUCUAUCCUCCUCAAUCUGGACCCCACUAGGCAGUGACAUUUCUAGGACCCCUUCCAGCAGAAAAUAACUGCAGAAGAUGAGACCUUCAUCCCUGUUCACCAAAUUAAUUUGGGGCCCAAAUGCUUGAGAGGAGAAUCAAGUAGGGCAUUUCUGAUGAUGUACAAUUUUGAGGUCUGCUAAACUAAUGCAAUUUUCAGGAAUGCUGUAGUAAUGGGCCUAAGGUAUUUAAAACUCUUAAAUACUAAAUCCUGGGGAAAUGACAUAAAACAUAUCCCAAACUAUGUGAAUUCAUUUAGGUGAUAUUCCUUUUGUUACUUUGCAGGGCCAGGUGACUAAGCUCAAAUGAAUGCCAGAGGUAAAGAUAACCAAUGCUGAUUGGUGAAAAUGUUUUUUUUUCUUUUAAUGAAACUAAUGAACAUCAGUAAUGAGAUGCCUAAAGUUUACACAGGCCCAGUAAAUUAAAUACAAGCCCGACAUUUGACAUAGUGAACUUGCAGGCUUAAAAAUACAUCUCUAUAAGUUUUCCCCCAUGAACUCUGGCCAGGGAGCUAUGGGUACUGUAUGUGCCCACCAAAUAAAGACCUGAGCAAUCUUCAACUCCAUAUAACUCGAAUUACUGGCCCUACAAAAUGAUCAACUUAUAGAACUCAAGAAGUGGGGAGGAAGCUAGCUCAGCACUACUUGUGGUUAUUUUAGUAAAUGAUUUUUUAGAUCUAAUAUGGCCUGAAGGUCAGAAAAAUCCUGAGGCUGUAUUCCUCCAACAGCUGCCUUGUAGCAGUUGGAGAGGUCUGGAGUAGAGUCUAGGAUCUCCUGAGUGAUGAACCCCAAAGCUACGUGUUCAGUUAAUAGCUGAUCUGGGAGUGGUGUGGAAGUCUUGAGGACUCGAGCUGCUAGCAGUCUUAAUAUUACAGGUUUAGUCUCAGGAUAGUCAUUGCCCAUGGAAGCUGUUCAAUCAAGUUGAUUUUAAAGGGGAAAAAAAUCCCAAUUUAUUUAAAAAUUAAAUAAAAUUUAAAAUGACAUGUAAAAUGAGACACAUGGGUUUAAAGUCACAAACACAAAAUUCCUUGAAAAAUUAAAAUUUUUCUUUUUUUCAAAAUUUUUUGAAAAACUGAUGUUCACAGUGCCCUUAAGAUUUUUCAUUUGUAUCUGGCUCAUCAAAUGAAGCAGGAAUCCAGAGACCGAAGUCUGGGUGGCACCUGGCUAGCAGUGCUCCUUGGCAAAGAGAGGUCCUAGGCCCAAUAGGGCAGAUGCAGUUUCUUAGUACUUUGCAAAUUACAUAAUUAAGAAAUUCUCUAAAAGGAGCCUGGUGGUUAGCAAUUUCUGACUGGGGCCUUUGGGUGGAAUUGAUCAGAAUCAGCCUUGAAAGGUCCUUUUGCCUGGGACAAUCUCAGGAAGGUGCUCAGGACCCCGAAAGCUGCUCUGCCAGUUGAGGAGUUGUGGGUUGCAACGGCAGGCUGGCUUUUGAGGUUGCACUUUUGAGGAGCACUGCAUUUGGUGACCAAUUUUAUGUCCACCGAGGUUUCCUUUGUGUCCAACCACUGAUGGAAGGGCAGGGCUGGGAUGGCUUCCUGAUGGUCCUGGGGCUCAAAGGGAGGUAAUGGCUCAUCCAUGACUCUGGGAACAGACAAGUGUGGCACAAGCAAAGCCAGGUGUUUGAACCAUGAGGAGGGCACAAGCUCCUUCCUGUAAGGCAGUGAACCUGCUCAUUUUCAGUCUGGCAGUUGGGUGGGGUACAUGCUCAGUGCUGGACAGGGGAUCUUUUUCCCACAAUGGUGAAAUCCAGUGAAGGGGACCUAGUGAUAGCACUGAUUUGGCCUUCUGAAGGAUGCUUUUCUGAGGCAAUAGGACCAAGUAUGUGGAUGAAGAGAACUUAGGAGCAAAGGGGAAGCAAUGAGGAAACACUAUGGGUGGGAAAGACGGCAGAACAGAUAUUAUGAUCUACCAAGAGUGAUAGUUGGCCUUUCAAGGAGAACUGGACCCUUUUCAUUGUGUUCUUGCAUAUGCUUUCAUUUUAUACUUGAAGGAAGCCCAAGAGACAACUUCAUUAUUUCCGAUGUUUCUUAUAAACCACUUAAUUUGUACAAAAUUGUUUGCAUGGAGUCACUUCCAGUUUUUCUUGUAAACCACUUAUUUGUGCAAAAUUGUUUGCAUGGAGCUACUGGGAGCUCCUCCAGGCCAGAGUCUGCUAUAUUCCGUGCUCAGUACGGAUCUUGGC